rnacentral:rRNA from 1 species
GGCGAACGGGUGAGUAACACGUGGAUAACCUGCCUCAAGGCUGGGGAUAACAUUUGGAAACAGAUGCUAAUACCGAAUAAAACUUAGUAUCGCAUGAUAUAAAGUUAAAAGGCGCUACGGCGUCACCUAGAGAUGGAUCCGCGGUGCAUUAGUUAGUUGGUGGGGUAAAGGCUUACCAAGACAAUGAUGCAUAGCCGAGUUGAGAGACUGAUCGGCCACAUUGGGACUGAGACACGGCCCAAACUCCUACGGGAGGCUGCAGUAGGGAAUCUUCCACAAUGGGCGCAAGCCUGAUGGAGCAACGCCGCGUGUGUGAUGAAGGCUUUCGGGUCGUAAAGCACUGUUGUAUGGGAAGAAAUGCUAAAAUAGGGAAUGAUUUUAGUUUGACGGUACCAUACCAGAAAGGGACGGCUAAAUACGUGCCAGCAGCCGCGGUAAUACGUAUGUCCCGAGCGUUAUCCGGAUUUAUUGGGCGUAAAGCGAGCGCAGACGGUUGAUUAAGUCUGAUGUGAAAGCCCGGAGCUCAACUCCGGAAUGGCAUUGGAAACUGGUUAACUUGAGUGUUGUAGAGGUAAGUGGAACUCCAUGUGUAGCGGUGGAAUGCGUAGAUAUAUGGAAGAACACCAGUGGCGAAGGCGGCUUACUGGACAACAACUGACGUUGAGGCUCGAAAGUGUGGGUAGCAAACAGGAUUAGAUACCCUGGUAGUCCACACCGUAAACGAUGAAUACUAGGUGUUAGGAGGUUUCCGCCUCUUAGUGCCGAAGCUAACGCAUUAAGUAUUCCGCCUGGGGAGUACGACCGCAAGGUUGAAACUCAAAGGAAUUGACGGGGACCCGCACAAGCGGUGGAGCAUGUGGUUUAAUUCGAAGCAACGCGAAGAACCUUACCAGGUCUUGACAUCCUUUGAAGCUUUUAGAGAUAGAAGUGUUCUCUUCGGAGACAAAGUGACAGGUGGUGCAUGGUCGUCGUCAGCUCGUGUCGUGAGAUGUUGGGUUAAGUCCCGCAACGAGCGCAACCCUUAUUGUUAGUUGCCAGCAUUCAGUUGGGCACUCUAGCGAGACUGCCGGUGACAAACCGGAGGAAGGCGGGGACGACGUCAGAUCAUCAUGCCCCUUAUGACCUGGGCUACACACGUGCUACAAUGGCGUAUACAACGAGUUGCCAACCUGCGAAGGUGAGCUAAUCUCUUAAAGUACGUCUCAGUUCGGACUGCAGUCUGCAACUCGACUGCACGAAGUCGGAAUCGCUAGUAAUCGCGGAUCAGCACGCCGCGGUGAAUACGUUCCCGGGUCUUGUACACACCGCCCGUCACACCAUG